UGAAAUUUGAUCUCAAUUUAGAUCACAUGAAGGAUCUGGUUCACGCUUAAGUCUAAGUAGUGACGCGGGUUUGAUGUUGGAGAAGGCGACAGUCUUUUGAGAAACGUCCACCAGUCGACAUUGCAAGAAGACUACCAUGAAUUGCUGCAGUUGCCUGACUUCAGCAUUCCAGAGCUGUUGUAGAAGGCUCAGCAUGGGUUGCUGUGGUGCUCAUGAGUACCAGCCAAGAACUGUAUUUCUUGGAAGGCCACCAUCAGAAAAAGUUCCCACCUAACAAAAUAUGCAACCAAAAGUACAACAUCUUCACAUUUUUUCCUUUGGUCUUAUUUAAUCAAUUCAAGUUCUUUUUGAAUCUUUAUUUCUUGGUUGUGUGUUUGUCCCAAUUCAUACCCGACAUAAGAAUUGGAUAUCUCUACAC